UACGUAGGUGGCAAGCGUUGUCCGGAAUUAUUGGGCGUAAAGCGCGCGCAGGUGGUUCCUUAAGUCUGAUGUGAAAGCCCACGGCUCAACCGUGGAGGGUCAUUGGAAACUGGGGAACUUGAGUGCAGAAGAGGAAAGUGGAAUUCCAAGUGUAGCGGUGAAAUGCGUAGAGAUUUGGAGGAACACCAGUGGCGAAGGCGGCUCUUUGGUCUGUAACUGACGCUGAGGCGCGAAAGCGUGGGGAGCGAACAGG
rnacentral:rRNA from 1 species